rnacentral:rRNA from 1 species
GAUGAACGCUGGCGGCGUGCCUAAUACAUGCAAGUCGAACGAACGGACGAGAAGCUUGCUUCUCUGAUGUUAGCGGCGGACGGGUGAGUAACACGUGGAUAACCUACCUAUAAGACUGGGAUAACUUCGGGAAACCGGAGCUAAUACCGGAUAAUAUUUUGAACCGCAUGGUUCAAAAGUGAAGGACGGUCUUGCUGUCACUUAUAGAUGGAUCCGCGCUGCAUUAGCUAGUUGGUAAGGUAACGGCUUACCAAGGCAACGAUGCAUAGCCGACCUGAGAGGGUGAUCGGCCACACUGGAACUGAGACACGGUCCAGACUCCUACGGGAGGUAGCAGUAGGGAAUCUUCCGCAAUGGGCGAAAGCCUGACGGAGCAACGCCGCGUGAGUGAUGAAGGUCUUCGGAUCGUAAAACUCUGUUAUUAGGGAAGAACAUAUGUGUAAGUAACUGUGCACAUCUUGACGGUACCUAAGCAGAAAGCCACGGCUAACUACGU